AAGUAUAUUUAUAGGUCAAAGAUAUCUGGGCAUCUAGAGAUAUCAAUCUUUAGGAAAAACUGUGCAAUGAUGAAACUCUCCAUCUCAGAACUGAGAGGUCAGUUGUUUAUGAUUCUAAUCUAGCCUUCCGAGGCCUCAGAGAGACACUGAGAUGCCAUGUUCCUAUAUCCUGUUUGAUGCACCUAUCAACCCAGUGUGGUGAUUCCGCAGCGGUGUAAGUGGAAAAGCCAGAGCCAGACUGCGUGACUCCACUUCUCUGAUUCCCUUUCCUCAUCUGUAAAAUGGGAAUAA
rnacentral:lncRNA from 1 species